rnacentral:tRNA from 1 species
GGAAAUGUAACAUAAUGAUAAUGUAUUUCAUUUACGUUGAAAAAAUCUUUUUGAAAAGCGUUUCUU